rnacentral:lncRNA from 1 species
CCAUGUGUCUAUAAUGAGGACUUUUGAUGUCCAAAAAUUACUUUAUCUAACUAAUUGUCUCUCUGGUUCAUUCCUUACCAAUUGUCUCUUAGGUUCAUCAAUGUAUCUCAAUUUUUUCUCUUCUAUCACUUCAAUUUUACAUAUUUGCUCUCACUUUUCUCUUUUUUGAAUUCAAAUCCUUCUUUCCCCAUUUUUAUUCACUAUAUAUCUUCUCUCAUGCUUAUAGUUUCGAAUUUUAUUAUCUCUAUCUUUUAG